GAACUUCUGAGCCUCUCCAACCAAGUGCAGAUGGGGAUCCACCACCUGUGUCCUGUAGUGCACUCUCACCAGUCCUAACCAGCAGGAGGGAGGUGAGAGAGCCAGUUGUCUUAAUUAGCAAUGCCCAUUGUGAUAGUCUUAGCAGCCUCCUGCACAAGGUACCUUCCUCUUUUCUCUUUAGGACAUGAGCCAAGUAACAGAGCCUCUUAUAAGAAGCCAUCUUCCAAGGCACCAGGAACCAGCUAUUAUGGGGGAAAGAACAAGAAGAAAGAGGUCAUCAGAUCAGAAGCAGGGAGGCCACCCUCCCACUGAUCAGCUAUGUGAUCCUGGCGUGAUGCUGGCUGCUUCUCAGUGAUGGCCACGUGAGCUUCAGUAAGAAGAAACAGUGAGCCAUCCAGCAUCCCGGAUUAGUGAGUUCUUGUUUAUGAAGAAGUUCCUGAUGUUUAGAAUUUUUUUCCCUACUUGCUAAUUGGCCUUAAACGCUAGUAAAGAAAAAGCUGCUGCUGACAGA
rnacentral:lncRNA from 1 species